UACGGAGGGGGCUAGCGUUGUUCGGAAUGACUGGGCGUAAAGCGCGCGUAGGCGGAUCGGAUAGUUGGGGGUGAAAGCCCAGGGCUCAACCCUGGAAUGGCCUUCAAAAACUCCCGAUCUAGAGUUCGAGAGAGGUGAGUGGAAUUCCGAGUGUAGAGGUGAAAAUUCGUAGAUAUUCGGAGGAACACCAGUGGCGAAGGCGGCUCACUGGCUCGACACUGACGCUGAGGUGCGAAAGCGUGGGGAGCAAACAGG
rnacentral:rRNA from 1 species